GACGAACGCUGGCGGCGUGCUUAACACAUGCAAGUCGAACGGAAAGGCCCUGCUUUUGUGGGGUGCUCGAGUGGCGAACGGGUGAGUAACACGUGAGUAACCUGCCCUUGACUUUGGGAUAACUUUAGGAAACUGGGGCUAAUAUCGGAUAGGAGCUCCUGCAGCAUGGUGUGGGUUGGAAAGUUUCGGCGGUGGGGGAUGGACUGGCGGGUUAUCAGCUUGUUGGUGGAGUAGUGGCUUACCAAGGCUUUGACGGGUAGGCGGCCUGGGAGGGUGACCGGCCACAUUGGGACUGAGAUACGGCGCAGACUCCAACGGGAGGCAGCAGUGGGGAAUAUUGCACAAUGGGCGGAAGCCUGAUGCAGCAACGCCGGGUGCGGGAUGACGGCCUUCGGGUUGUAAACCGCUUUCGCCUGUGACGAAGCGUGAGUGACGGUAAUGGGUAAAGAAGCCCCGGCUAACUACGUG
rnacentral:rRNA from 1 species